ACAAGCAGACUCAAGCGAAAUCUCAUUGUGCUAUAUAUGAUAAGACUGAGAAAUUCAGAAAGUCAAUUCAUUCUCAUCUCUCCUUAUCAUACUAGUCUGCUUGGCUAGGAAGCUAAUGCU
rnacentral:sRNA from 1 species